rnacentral:rRNA from 1 species
UUGUCAUAUGCUUGUUUCAAGGACUAAGCCAUGCAAAUGUCAGAGUACCUGCGUUUACGCGGGAGGUCUGUGUACGGCUCAUUAAACGGUUUAUUGUCUACCCAACGAAGAAGGGCCUUCGUGCUCUUCCGAUGGGAUAACGAUUUCGAAAUGAAUCGCUAAUACCUGUCAGACCAUCCUUGCGCCUCUGGACUUGUCCCCACAGUGCCUUUCCGGGUACGUGGUGGUGCGGGGAGCAAUUCGCCGAAACAAAAACCAGCGCCCUCACGGGCAGUUUCAAUUGUUGAGGCAGGCGAAUGUUGCGAAAGCACCGUCUUCGGUGCGAUGUUGGAUGAAUUUACCACCUAUCAGGUUGAAGGUAGUAUAGUUGACUACCUUGCCAUUGACGGGUAACGGAGAAUUGGGGUUCGAUUCCGGAGAGGGUGCCUGAGAAACGGCAACCAUCACUACGGUGAGCAGCAGGCGCGCAAAUUGCCCAAUGCCAAUACUGGUGAGGCAGCGACGAAAAAUAACAACUCUGUUGCACUUCGUGUAUCAGAGAUUGUAAUGGAUUGUAUCCAAUACACACUGCUGAGUAUCAAUU